rnacentral:rRNA from 1 species
CCUACGGGAGGCAGCAGUCGGGAAUAUUGCGCAAUGGAGGAAACUCUGACGCAGGGACGCCGCGUGCAGGAAGAAGGUUGUCGGAUGGUAAACUGCUUUAGACAGGGAAGAAACAAGACAGUACCUGUAAAAUAAGCUCCGGCUAACUACGUGCCAGCAGCCGAGGUAAUACGUAGGGAGCAAGCGUUAUCCGGAUUUAUUGGGUGUAAAGGGCGUGUAGGCGGGAAAGCAAGUCAGAUGUGAAAACACUGGGCUCAACCUGUGGCCUGCAUUUGAAACUGUUUUUCUUGAGUACUGGAGGGGCAGCCGGAAUUCCUAGUGUAGCGGUGAAAUGCGUAGAUAUUAGGAGGAACACCAGUGGCGAAGGCGGUCUGCUGGACAGCAACUGACGCUGAGGCGCGAAAGCGUGGGGAGCAAACAGGAUUAGAUACCCGAGUAGUC